CGCUCUUAGGGUAUAAUUAAGAGUAAGGUCUGCCCAAUGAAAUUUAAAUGGCCGCGGUAUUUUGACCGUGCGAAGGUAGCAUAAUCAUUAGUCUAUUAAUUGUAGGCUGGUAUGAAAGGCUAGAUGAGGAUAAGCUGUCUUUUUUAGUUUAAUGAAUUUUAGUUUUAUGUGAAGACGCAUAGAUGAAAAUAGGGGACGAGAAGACCCUAUUAAGCUUUAUAUGUAAAUUCUAAAUAGGAAAAUUAGGAGGAAAUAUUAUGUUGGGGCGACAGUAGAAUAAACGUCUAUUUAUUUGAGAUGAUUUAAUUAAAUUAAAGUAUGAUCCAUAAUAUUUGAUUGAAAGAGUAAGUUACUAUAGGGAUAACAGCGUAAUUUCAUCGGAGAGUUCAUAUUGAUGAUGAAGAUUGCGACCUCGAUGUUGAAUUAGGAUACCCAAGGGGUGCAGCAGUUCUUUAGGGUGGUCUGUUCGACCAUUAAAUUCCUACA
rnacentral:rRNA from 1 species